rnacentral:tRNA from 1 species
GCGCCCGUAGCUUAAUGGUAAAGUCCUGCUUUGUGGAGGCAGUUAAGCGGGUUCGAUCCCCGUCGGGCGCC